UGCGUGGCCCUGUCCUCGCAGCCAGGACCUCCCAGCCCAGGUCACCUGCCACCACCGGAUCGAGGUGGGCUGUGUCUUCAGCGGGACCCGGACGGUGGAGCCAAGUGGAGCAGAGCCACCAGGUGUGGCAUGAGCAGGUGCCAGGGACCGGCUCGGUGGCUCUGCUCUGUCCAUGCGUUUCCUCACCAGGGGAGAGGCGAUGGGGAAACGAUGGCAUAAAGCAAGACCAGGUCGGUGCCCCCCCGCCAGCCCCCUUGCUGGCCCUCUGACCUUGGCACGUGUGUGCCCCACGCUGGGUCAGCAGAUUGGAUGGGGAUGCCCACUCCCUCCAAACCUCUUGGCUGAUUGGCCGGCACUGGACUUGCCAGCCCUACGCCCUAUGCCCCAGCCCCGUGGCAGGUCCUGGGGGCUGAAGGGAGCCAUGCAGGGGGAGCAGUGGGGGUGGGCGGCGCACAAGGCAGGGAGAGCCAGCAAGCAGAAUGGGGGCUCACACACAUAUGCAUGUAUACACGUGUGCAUGUACAGGCUCUCACAUGCAUCCACGUGCACACAGGUGCACACACCCACACACGCAAGCCUGUGGAAACAGCACAGUGUGCGGUUGGGUUCCCAUUCGCCACCGUCUGCACUAUUUAUGCCGCUUUCCAUGAAUCUGUAGUUAAUUCAAUAUAAAGUGUUUUGAAAGCUCAUCUUUGAUAAUAUUGAGAGGUGGAGAUUCCUCCUUUUUUGUUUGAUUUUUUUCCAAAUAUAUACACAUAGUUGCUCCAGGUUUUUUUUUAAAGCUAACUAAUGACCAGGGAAUAAAUUUGGAUCAGAGCAGCGUUGGAAAUAUGAGCUUUCUUGUGGCGAGGUGUUGGCACGCGCCCAGACAACAGGAGUAAAAGCUUCUGGAGAUAUUUCAUUGCACGCUCACUGCUCACCUCCCCUGUGUCUCCUCAUGAAAUUUGGAAAAUAAAGUCCUCUCAGCAGACAGCAAAGGUCACCGUUUGAUGGAUAUCUUUUCUCUGCCCGCUUUCUGCCCCUCGAGCUCCCAUGGGGUCUGGACCAGCCCCCUGCAGUUUCGCUGAAGGACUAUCCAUUCUAAGUGUCACCCAGACACGGACCAAGGCCCAUGCUCCUGAGGUGGCCACCUAGCGCCCUGCCCUUUGCCAGCCCCUGGCAGCCUCCACUCGUCCUGGCACCACAUCCUCACUUCCUGGUACGGGCUCUCGAGCCCCUGGCCCCUGCCUGGGACUCCCAGCAAUGUCCCCGCUCACCUGGGAGGCCACCCCGCCCCACCCCGUCCACCUGGGGCCUGGGCACCUGGGCCUCCUUCCUCUUCCGUCUUAGUUCACAGGCACAGCUAAAACAGGCUUCCGGAUUGAUUUGGAUUAAGAAGUUAGGUGGGUUAAUAAACUAAAGGGCCCACAGACCCUUGUAUAUAAAUUUCUAUUAAGU